AACGAACGCUGGCGGCGGGUCUUACACAUGCAAGUCGAACGGCAAGAGAGGAGCUUUCUUCUCUUCUAUAGUGGCGGACUGGCGAGGAAGACAUGUGUAAUCUACUCUCUGGUUGAGGGGAGCUGCUAGUAAUAGCAGUUACUACCACAUCCACACGUCAUAUCACCAGAGGUGUUGAGGCAAGGACGCUUCGGCUUCGCUUGUGGCUGAGCUUGCGUCCCAUUAGCUAGUUGGUGGGGUAAAGGCCCACCAAGGCGACGAUCGGUAUCGGGCCUGAGAGGGUGAACGGACACACUGGAACUGAGACACGGUCCAAACUCCUACGGGAGGCAGCAGCUGAGAAUAUUGCGCAAUGGGCGGAAGCCUGACGGAGCCACGCCGCGUGGAUGAAGAAGGCUGAAGAGUUGUAAAGUACUUUUGUUGAUGAAGAAUAGGGGUGAGUGGGAAUGUUCACUUGAUGACGGUAAUCGAAGAAUAAGCCCCGGCUAAUUACGUG
rnacentral:rRNA from 1 species